AUGUUCUCCUGGUUCUAUUCCUUUCACUUUGUUUUCAACUUUGUUCUGAAAGCAUCCUGCUUGUCAUUUCCUUUAGCACAAGGAUAUUUCAUCACAAUUCUAUAUCACAAUUUGUUUAGCUAUAGGCAUCCCCUCAAUUACCAAUUCUUUGCUACCACAAAAAAAAAAAAAAAAAAAAAAAAAGGUUGUUCAGUUGUGUCAGAAUUUUUUGUGUCCCUAUUUUGGGGUUCCCCAACAAAGAUACUAGAGUGGUUUGCCAUUUCCUUUUCCAGGUCAUUUUGCAGAUGAGGAAAUUUGAGGUAAAUGAAGUGAUUUUCGAGGGUCACAAGCUAAUGUCUGGGACCAGAUUUGAAUUCAAGAAGAUAAGUCUUUCUGACUCCAGACUCAGCAAUCUAUCCACUGUACCAUUUAGCUGGCCCCAAAAGGAUGUAGCCAUCCCCAAUACUUCUUCACUUAGGAGGAAACAAAAAUAAGCCAGAUGCACUUCUGGUUUCUUGGUAGCUCCAAGAAAAGCUUAAAGUUAGCAACCUCCAGCACCUAGAACUGUCAUGAAGCUAAGAAUCCCAAGCAUCUUCCUUGCUCAUCAACAGGGAAAGAAAAAAUAUCAGUUUGGCUAGUUAGUGCCUUUUGUAGAAACACCAAGUAUGACUCAGCUUCAUAUUAGCAGGCUCCUUUUCAUCAUACAGCAAAUGGACAAGAAGCAGUCAGAAUAAUUCCACAUAAUCUGGAGGACCUUAGGCAGAACAUGUUCUUAAGAACUCAGUCCUCAUUGUCCAGCCCCUUCCCCCAUAUACCUUAAAGAGGCAGAGAUGAGAGUGAAUCUAGGGAUGGAGAAAAGGGUAUUUGAAGUCACUGAGGUAGGAACUGGAGUAUUGUGAGUGAAGAACUGUAAGUAGGUCAAUUUGCCAGAACCUGUGAAAGGAAGUAACUUCGUAAAUUUGGAACAGUAGUCUAGAGCCAGAUUUCAAAGGGUUUUUAAAUGCCAAACAGAAGAAUUUGUAUAUAUUAGAGGCAACAGGGAGUCAUUGAAGCUUUUUGACCAGAGGAAUGAUAAUGAUAUGGUUAGACCUGUGUAUGCCAUUUUGUCAGCUAUGUAUAGGAUGAACUGGAAAGGGGAAAGACCUGAGGCAAGGAGAUGAAUCACUAAAUAUUAUGUGGGGAUUAGGGAGAAUAAAGUGACUUCAACACUCCA
rnacentral:lncRNA from 1 species